AUUCCUGAUUUAGAUAGAAUUACAUACAGUAAGGUGAAUUUGCCCCAGAAGAUUACAGGUUCGAUCAAACAAAACAACAUGGUCUCUUUAUUUUACUGCAUUCUGCCUCAAUACUUCUGCCUUUUUUAAAAACAUUUCCCUCUAUUGUCAUCAUCACUUUUUUCUUUUCAUCUCUCCUCCACACCCUCAAGUCUAUUUGUUUGCAUCACCUCUGUUCUUGGUUGGUUUAUCUGUUUUCAUAUCUCCUACUAUAACAGUGUUGUAUCCACAAAGUAUUACCUUUCAUUACACAAAAGCUGCGGCCCUUGCAAAACAAGGGAAACAACCAGAGCGGUUGACAUCACCGAUUGAACACUACUAGCGCACGCCGCUAACUAGCUAGCCAUUUCACAUCGGCUACAAUGCUAUUUCCCACGAUAUCUCUUCCUGGCUCUAACCCUUUAUUUCCAACUCUCCCAAUGUGAAAUGUUCUCCCUCAUCAUCCUGUCUGUCUUUCACUCUCUCUCCCUCUCUUCUCCUCCUCUUUCUGCUACAAUUAUCUUAAACCUUUCAUCUGUAAAAUAACUCACCUCCUCCUAACCUUCCACUUCAAUGGUUCUGAAGGGCAGGCUGUUCUCCACCAAUGACUUUGGCCUAACCAACUAGAAGCUUACAAUGGGCCACUGUAACACACUCACACACGCAAGCACUUGCAUGCACGCAAGUGCACACACACAAACCCUCCCUUGUCUGUUUCUCCUCUGUGUCUCUGUCGGGUGCUUUGGAUCCAUAAAUACUGAUGAAAGGUAAAUGUGGGGUGCAUUUUUCUGUUACCGUGACGACAGACAGAAGACGAGUGAAGAGAGCAGGGGCCUCAUUUUUAAAAAAUUUCUUAGAUUUAUACUUGAACUUAGUCCUAAAAAUCAUUUCCAACGGUGUGCUUAUGUUCGAUUCAUAAAAGAUACUGAGCAUAAAGAACCUUGCUUACGCAGGUUCUAAUAAGCCCAUUUUUAACUUACGCACCUGUGAUCUAUAAAUCUCAAAUAACUUAAAAUUGAGUGCACCUGAAUGUGCCUUACAAUCAGAGAAUUCCCCUUAUAGAAUACUAGCACAAAUGAGGGUUUAGUCAGGAAUAGCCAUGGACCAAAAGAGAAAAGUAAACUUUUUGGAAGACGAGAUCACGGCAAUGGUAGAGGAGAUUGAAGACAGGCAACACGUAUAUAUUCUGUUGACUAAAUAGUGAGUUGACAAACAAAACCAAACAGGUAGCUUUGCGAGUGUGUCGCCGCUGCAGUGAACGAGGUGGGGCAGCAAGACAGAACUGUGGCUGAUGUGAAAGACCUGGCACUCCAGAGUUCUCCCAAAUGGACCAGCGCAUCGGGGAAAUCAUUGGGGAAAGCGCAUACACUGGCACAUGCGCCGACCGCGACAGUGAAUGUUUAAAAAAAGCAGUAACAUUGGAAACGGUAAAGUCGGUGCGCGAAACCCCAACCACUGCAUCACUAGAUCACGAAACAGGGGAAACUGCGUUGCAGCCCAUGCGCCCUCCACCCAGGGAUAAAGUGGGUGAGGCUCCCAAAGCAGCAGGUGCCAGGAAUGAGGGCGAAGGUUUGGCCACAGGUGUCGAGGGCUGUCCAUGUCUGCGUCCGUGCGCCAGGAUGAAGUCCGUGAGGCCCCAGUUCCCAAGCGUCGCAGACCCGCAGGUGCCAGGGGUGAGGGGGAAUGUUUGGCCACAGGUGUCGAGGGUUCAUCGACGUCUGUGUCCACGUCUACAGUUCGCGUGUUGACCGCUGCAGUCCUGCAAACCCAGAAUGAGCUGAACACAUUGGUUGGGUAGAUUGUGACUGAACUCGGAAGAAUACGCAGGGUUUACAUUCAUUUACAUAAUGCAAUUGUUGAACGUU